GAAAUGCGAUAAGUAAUGUGAAUUGCAGAAUUCAGUGAAUCAUCGAAUCUUUGAACGCACCUUGCGCUCCUUGGUAUUCCUUGGAGCAUGCCUGUUUGAGUAUCAUGAAAUCUUCAAAGUAAAUCUUUUGUUAACUCAAUUGGUUUCUACUUUGGUAUUGGAGGUCUUUGCAGCUUCACACCUGCUCCUCUUUGUUCAUUAGCUGGAUCUCAGUGUUAUGCUUGGUUCCACUCGGCGUGAUAAGUUAUCUAUCGCUGAGGACACUGUAAAAGGUGGCCAAGGUAAAUGCAGAUGAACCGCUUCUAAUAGUCCAUUGACUUGGACAAUACUUUUAUGAUCUGAUCUCAAAUCAGGUAGAAAUACCCGCUGAACUUAAGC
rnacentral:misc_RNA from 1 species